rnacentral:lncRNA from 1 species
GUGAGCUUUACCUUGUCCAGAUUUUGCACAAAUCAUUUGGAAAUAUACGCUCUUGCAAUUUUUUUGUUGCACCUUAACCUGCUAAAGUACACAGUAAAGCUGGUGGAAAUUACAGGCUAUGAACCUACAAAGAAACAGCACCAUUAGCCUUCACAGAACUACCAGCAUGCUAUUAGCUGCUAAUAAUUACCAAGGAUUAAUUAAUAUAAGUUUUAUUAAUAUUAAGGGCCAUUGCUGAACCAAGACAAAACUAUGUCGGCGUUAACAAUAAAUGGCUCAGAUUUUUCGGGAUGCUUUUGAAAUUGUCAUGAACUGCUGAAUAUACAAAUCAAUCAAAACAACCAGUCAAAAAGUUGAUGGAUUUGAGAAAGCCCACGUUGCAAUGCAUACAGCUCCUACAGCGGAUGUAAGCGAUUUGCCACAGAGCAUCCCUAUAGCUUGUACUCUUGAUCAGAACAAGAGACAGAGCGUUCCCCAAAGAUCCACGACGUGUUUAACAGCCUGUAGUGAAGGCUGAAGAGAGCUUUUAGAAACCUCAUGUUGUCCAGGCAGAGCGCACAGUUUCUAUCAGCUGCAGUAAACCUUGUACGUCUUGUUGUACGUUUUAAAGAUGACUUAAAGGAACUUAAUCUAUAAUAGUACUUUACAAUACUGUCAUUCCUGGGUGAUACUAAUUGCUUGGUAAUGCUAAUGUAUGUCAGCUAGCCGCAAAGUGUUGUGGGGACCAGAGAGAAAGCCAAUAGAGAAACAAUUGUCUUAUCUUUUGCUUUACUUACCUCUUUUCCCUCUUCUGCGUGAAAGAAUAGUGGCAGAAUGGCAUUCCUUCUCCUCAUUACUCGGUAAAAAUACUAAUUUGUGUCUGACCCUCAUUCAGCACAGUUUGCACCUCUGUGAUGAUGCUGGCCCAGUAGAAGGGUGGUGGGAGCACUGUGCCAGAAGGCGAGGACAAAUAUCUGUAGGACUGUCUAAGUGAAAAUGUUUGAAAGUUGAGGGCACAUGUUGAGUUCACAAAAGGAAAUGCCGGUUUCUGUUGCAAUGUUAGUUACACAAUCACAUAAGGUUUUAUUUUUAAAAGCAAGUAAAAAAUUACGGUGCAUCAACUCCUCAACUGGUGUAAAUCAGCGUGGUUUUAUUGACUUUGAUGGAGCUAUGUCGAUUUAUACCAGAUGAGGAUUUGGCCCACUGUAUGGAGAUAUUUUUAUUUCUCUUCUCACCCUAUCAGUUAAGGAAAGGGUAAUCAUCAGAAAGCUGGAAGCAAUUACGCGUGUGUGAGGAGGGGGUAGUUUCAUAAUAGCUAACUUGAUAUUAUUUCCUGUAAAACGCAUCAGGAGAAUAGAGCCUGGAGCCUGCUGACCGGUUUGUUUUGCAAAGAAAUAUUUGUUCAAAUCUGUUUAUAAUAAUUUGUCAGCGAUGGACGGGCUGUGCUCGAGCACUCGCCCUCCACCAGCGGCAGAGGCGGCAGCGCUGCAGCCUGCAGGGCAGCGAGGGGCGGCUGAGAACGGACCAGGCAAAGCCGGGGCUUCAUUCGCGCCCGUGUAAAUCCAGAGGGAUCCUACCCAGAUCGGGGGAAAUACUCUCUAUUUACAACGGCGUGCCUAAAAACAAAAUUUGGCAGAGAUUUCAACUUUCAGACCUUCACAGAGGAAAAAAAAAAAGAUAAAAAGAUCAUUUCCAAUUCUGAUGUACGCCGUGAAGAUGAGGUCCCCACUAAUUGUGAUGCGGUCAGAGAUUAUGAUUGAACUCAGCAAUCCACAGAAGAUUAAACCCUAAACCAUAACCUAAAAGUAUUAAGGGAACAAAAUAGAAUGACAUACCUAAACCAGAGCAGUUCCAAAUAAGGCACCUGUCAGAUUUUUCCAUUAGAUGUAGGCAGUUUAAGAUUUGCUACGACAGAAUUUGAGACUGCUGCAUUUCAGUUUUGUUCAGCUUCCAGGGUAAAGGUG